rnacentral:rRNA from 1 species
AGAGUUUGAUCCUGGCUCAGGAUGAACGCUGGCGGCGUGCUUAACACAUGCAAGUCGAACGAACCUCCGGGUUAGUGGCGGACGGGUGAGUAACGCGUGAGAAUCUGCCCUCAGGAGGGGGACAACAGCUGGAAACGGCUGCUAAUACCCCAUAUGCCGCGAGGUGAAAUGAAUUUCGCCUGAGGAUGAGCUCGCGUCUGAUUAGCGAGUUGGUGUAGGUAAUGGCUCACCAAGGCAUCGAUCAGUAGCUGGUCUGAGAGGAUGAUCAGCCACACUGGGACUGAGACACGGCCCAGACUCCUACGGGAGGCAGCAGUGGGGAAUUUUCCGCAAUGGGCGAAAGCCUGACGGAGCAACGCCGCGUGAGGGAUGAAGGCCUCUGGGCUGUAAACCUCUUUUAUCAAGGAAGAAGAUCUGACGGUACUUGAUGAAUAAGCCACGGCUAAUUCCGUGCCAGCAGCCGCGGUAAUACGGGAGUGGCAAGCGUUAUCCGGAAUUAUUGGGCGUAAAGCGUCCGCAGGCGGCCCUUCAAGUCUGCUGUUAAAAAGUGGAGCUUAACUCCAUCACGGCAGUGGAAACUGUUGGGCUUGAGUGUGGUAGGGGCAGAGGGAAUCCCCGGUGUAGCGGUGAAAUGCGUAGAUAUCGGGAAGAACACCAGUGGCGAAGGCGCUCUGCUGGGCCAUCACUGACGCUCAUGGACGAAAGCCAGGGGAGCGAAAGGGAUUAGAUACCCCUGUAGUCCUGGCCGUAAACGAUGAACACUAGGUGUCGGGGGAAUCGACCCCCUCGGUGUCGUAGCCAACGCGUUAAGUGUUCCGCCUGGGGAGUACGCACGCAAGUGCGAAACUCAAAGGAAUUGACGGGGGCCCGCACAAGCGGUGGAGUAUGUGGUUUAAUUCGAUGCAACGCGAAGAACCUUACCAGGGUUUGACAUCCUGCGAAUCUCUUGGAAACAGGAGAGUGCCUUCGGGAACGCAGUGACAGGUGGUGCAUGGCUGUCGUCAGCUCGUGUCGUGAGAUGUUGGGUUAAGUCCCGCAACGAGCGCAACCCACGUCUUUAGUUGCCAGCAUUUAGUUGGGCACUCUAGAGAGACUGCCGGUGAUAAACCGGAGGAAGGUGUGGAUGACGUCAAGUCAUCAUGCCCCUUACAUCCUGGGCUACACACGUACUACAAUGCUACGGACAAAGGGCAGCAAGUUCGCGAGGACAAGCAAAUCCCAUAAACCGUGGCUCAGUUCAGAUCGUAGGCUGCAACUCGCCUACGUGAAGGCGGAAUCGCUAGUAAUCGCAGGUCAGCAUACUGCGGUGAAUACGUUCCCGGGCCUUGUACACACCGCCCGUCACACCAUGGAAGUUGGCCACGCCCGAAGCCGUUACUCCAACCCUUGUGGAGGAGGACGUCGAAGGUGGGGCUGAUGACUGGGGUGAAGUCGUAACAAGGUAACC